CUGACCUACUGGCUUGGCCUUGACUACAGGCAUAAUAACAAUUACAUACAACAACUAUUCUUAAUACCUUUGCUUACGCACAAUAUGUGUCUUCAAAUGUAAUCUGAGAAAGAGUCCUUGCCUUCUAAGCUCUUUGAGAGCUGCCCUCGUAGACAUAGGAGCCGCAUAUCCUGUACACCUUCAAUCUAAUGCCCAUGUUGGCUGGAGCUCACAAAAUAUAGUAGGUUGGGCUGUCCAGGCUCUGACGUGCAAGGGGAAUGGAGUGUGUCUUUCUGCUUCUCCAUCAAGGCCUAUGUCAGUGAAGGUGCACAUACCACUCUCCCCACCAUCCUUUCUGGACACUGAGAUGACAAUGGAGUUGCACCUGGGUCACCGAAAGGGGAAUUUGGUCCUCUGAGAGGAAGGCCUGCAGAUAAGUCCAUGUUUCCUGCUCUGAACAGCGUACAGACUAGGUGAAGGUCUAAGGUGAAGCAUAACUCAGGAUGUUGCAUUACAAGGCUCACAUCCUGUAUUACUGGAGUAAAAAUCAAAUUGCU